UGUAACAGAGAAGUUUUUGUUUUUGUCUUUGUGUCUGAAGAGUUGGCCGUCUCUCUCUCUCUCUCUCUCUCUCUCUUGAUCUACAGAUGGAUUCACUGUCAGUUCUCACCCCUCUUUUGAUGAUGCAGUGAAAUCAGUCUCUAAACUCAGAGACAAACUGCAGCAGUUCUGCAUAGAUGAUGUAGAAAACAUAUCAAAAAUAGUUAAAUACUGAUUUAUUUUCAGAAAAAAGUUUAUUAAAUAUAAAAUAGUUGUAGUUUAAUUUUAAUGUGACUUAAGAGUUUAAUUGCAGAUGUGUUUUGUAGUGAAAACCGUCCAUGUCAUCCAGACUCCAGAAUGUCAGACCAGAGUGGAGUUUCAAGAAGAUUCUCAUCCAGUGGGUUUCACAGCCAAGAAGGCUAAAGAUCUUGGCUGUGAAAGAAGGCCCAGACUAAAGCCACAGUUUAGGUCCACACUCAUACCCACUUACUCAUCUUUCACCACUUUCCCCAGAACAAAUUUAAGCUUUUUGGUAUUCACACCCCGUUGAAGACUUAUUAGCCGGAACUCAACUUGAGUGCACCAGGAUAUGAAGAUUUUUACAUCAGCAGCACUCUUUGCAUUUUUUUUUUUAUAAGUUUGUGAACUCUUUCAAAACAUUUUGAUUUCUGCAUUGCUUACUCAUAAAAUAUGGUCUGUUCUUUUAUCAUUUUUAUUAAAUACAGUGAGUGAUUAUUCACAGUGGAGUAACAAAAGCUGAAUAUUUUCAAAGGUUAACAAACUUAUUCUUGCCUCUGUAUAACAAAAACAUUGUCUUAAUACAAACAAGUAUCAUAAGUUUCAUAAUCAUAAUACACGAGUAUCAAUUCUCUUUUGCUAUCUCAGGUAUUUUGUUCAAUGAAUAUUGAAAAAUGUGUUGAAAUAUGAUGUAACCCUUGUUUGAUUGUGAAGCUUUCAGAUCUCCCAAUAAAAUAUUUUGAGUUUUGAUUCACAGUGCAGGGUAGUGAAAAUAAGUGAACCCUUGUAUUCAGUAACUUGUACAGCAGAUCCUCAUUUAGUAGCAAAACCUCCACCGAUCAUUCUCUAUAUAGCUCCUUUCUUGGAUCAUCCUUACACACAAACCUGUCAAGCAUCUCUGUUUCCUCUUUAGAAAACAUGCCACAGCUGAGGCGACACUGACGUGCACCUCUCCAAAAAUGUCACAGUGCAUCAAAUCUACGCGGACCGCAAGCGCUGUGAUUGGUCUGCUAGUACCCCUCCCUCUAUAUGUAUUUGAUGCCGUGUUCCAGGCAACCCUUAACCCGUGUUUUUCCAACCCAUGUUUGAAAGUGCACUGAAACGGCAGUCAAACCCGUGACUUCCCACCCGUGAACUCGUACUAGAUCGAUGUACUCCCAGUUCCAAGCUCUGAUGUCACAUAGCCCGCGAAACAACAGUUGCAGCCCCUACGGAUAAUAGUGCCUACGUAUGCGGUGUUUAUGCAAGUGGUACACAGUGAAAAAUAGACUUUAGGACAAUAUAACGUUACAAUAAAAUUAAUAAUCUAGCUACAAUUCCUUGUGCUCAGGCAGACUUGCCUGGAUUGCUACAAAGUCAUGAGUCGUGGUUUGAAGUCAUGAUUUACGGGCUCAAAAACCUGCCUGGAACGCAGCAUGAGUUUUGUGUGUGUUUUUUUGCACUUUUAUAUAUUUUAAUGUUACACCUUCUUAUUUAAAAUAAAACAAAGCAAAGAACAAGUGUCUUAUCAUUUAUUAUAAAACGUAGCAUUACAUCACAUUGUUGUCCACAACAAACAGUUGUUCUGCCAUGGUACGUUACAAGUCCUUGUGGAGAUUGAAAGAAUGCCAUCUUCUGCUGUUCCGGUGUCAUCUCUUUUUUGUAGUUUUAAAUAAAUUAUCGGUUCUUUGAUAUUUAUUUGCCGCAGUCACGGCUAUAACGCUUUUCCAAUGAGCCA
ensembl:lncRNA